UCAGAACGAACGCUGGCGGCGUGCCUAACACAUGCAAGUCGAGCGAGAAAGCCCGCAAGGGUGAGUAAAGCGGCGCACGGGUGCGUAACACGUGGGUAAUCUGCCCGGAAGUCCGGAAUAACUCGCCGAAAGGCGUGCUAAUGCCGGAUAAGACCACGGGAACUUCGGUUCCUGCGGGAAAAGGUGGCCUCUGUACACAAGCUAUCACUUCCGGAUGAGCCCGCGGCCCAUCAGCUAGUUGGCGGGGUAACGGCCCACCAAGGCUACGACGGGUAGCUGGUCUAAGAGGACGAUCAGCCACACUGGAACUGAGACACGGUCCAGACUCCUACGGGAGGCAGCAGUGGGGAAUCUUGCGCAAUGGGCGAAAGCCUGACGCAGCAACGCCGCGUGUGUGAUGAAGGUCUUCGGAUCGUAAAGCACUGUCGGGAGGGACGAAUAAGGUCGGCGCCAACAUCGCCGGACGAUGACGGUACCUCCAAAGGAAGCACCGGCUAACUCUGUGCCAGCAGCCGCGGUAAUACAGAGGGUGCAAGCGUUGUUCGGAAUUAUUGGGCGUAAAGCGCGUGUAGGCGGUUCAGCAAGUCGGAUGUGAAAGCCCUCGGCCUAACCGAGGAAGGGCGUUCGAAACUACUGAACUUGAGUGCCGGAGAGGGUGGCGGAAUUCCCGGUGUAGAGGUGAAAUUCGUAGAUAUCGGGAGGAACACCAGCGGCGAAGGCGGCCACCUGGACGGUAACUGACGCUGAGACGCGAAAGCGUGGGGAGCAAACAGGAUUAGAUACCCUGGUAGUCCACGCUGUAAACGAUGAGCGCUAGGUGUUGUGGGUGUUGACCCCCGCAGUGCCGAAGCUAACGCAUUAAGCGCUCCGCCUGGGAAGUACGGCCGCAGGGCUAAAACUCAAU
rnacentral:rRNA from 1 species